ensembl:lncRNA
AUGUCUCCAAAUAAGUGUGUUUUUGGAUGUGAGGAAAAGAUUACUGUGUUCAGCUUCCCAAAGAACCCAGCGUUACACGAACAGUGGAUGCAGUUUGUUUUUCCGGGGCAGCAACGGAGUGUAGCAAGUGCGUUUGUGUGUUCUCGUCAUUUCAGUGACAAAUAUUUUAUAAACAAGGCCCAGGUCGACGCUGGAUUUGCACAUGGUUUGCUAUUAAAACAUGGAGCAGUCCCAGUGAUAAAAGACCCCAUUCAUUUUUGUUGGAGUCCCUCAAUUGUCCUCAUUGUGAAAAGAUGGAUCUCAAAAUCAUACAGUCACUGCUGGAAAGGGUUCAAAUGUGCAAAAAUGCUGGAAAACUGAAGAAUCUGCAGGACAUGGAGGAUUUUUCUGAAGAACAGAGCUCAGAUUAACUGUUCAGAACAAACAAGGGACUCAUGAACAACCAUCACAAAACAAAAAAAACAAAACAAAACAGUCGUGGAUCAUCAGGUAGCCACACACAGUAUUAAGAACCAAGGGUUCACAAACUUUUGAAUGGGGUUAUUUUAAGAAUUUCAGCAAUUUUUUUUUUUUUUUUUGGUGUGUCUUGUGGACUAAAUGUAAACAUCUUUUAUGUGAAAUAUCUUAUUUAGGACAUUACUAAAUAAAAAAUAACAUGCAUUUUGUAUGAUCUCUCUUAUUUUGUUCAAAUUAUUCACAUUUUCACAGAUUCUUCAAGGGGUUCCCAAACAUUCGCAUGCCACUGUAUAUAUUGUGUGUGUGUGUUUGUAAUAAAUUGUAUAAAAAAUGUCUAUAUUUUAUAUUUACUAAUAGAAUAACAACAUAUAUGUCAAAUCUAUAUUACAAAAACAUAAACAUACAUAUUUGCAUAUGCUAGACUUAUCUGUUACAUAUACUUAUAUACAUGUAUACAUAUUGAUAUGUUAAAUUUACAUACAUUUGUGUAUGGGUUACUAAUCAAUAAUGCACGCGCGCGCACACACACACACACACACACACACACACACACACACACACACAUAUCAAAAUGAACUUUGUUUUCAGGUGGUUCUUUUUUAAGUUGUCAAUAUAUAUUUUGUUAAAUAUCUUGAUUUAACCGGAAUUAUGCCACAUUAUGAGAAUAAUAAGUUGUGUUUCACAUUAUUUCACCAAUGCAUUUCACGUUGACUUUAGGCUGCACAGCAAAAUGAAUGUUUGUUUUGAAUGAAUGCAUCCAGACCACAGCAAGAGAAAGUGCCUCGCUCUGCAUGUGCUGAUUUAUGUUUUCAAUUAUCCUUCAUUUUCAUUGGACUGAUCAGAGGAGUGAAUUGUGAGAUACCAUAAAGCAAAGAAAUAUGCUAAACAUAAUUCCAUUAAGAUCGGAGGCAUAACCGAAUGCCACUUUCUUGCAGGGUAAGAUGGGUCUUCUAGAUGCCUGAUCUUUAUGGUCAGAUAUAUUUAACAGGAGGACCCUUUGUGUGCAGUUGACAACUACAGAGAAACAAAGGUGGGUCUUUCUUGCAGAUCAUAAACAAUGGCAACAAAAGUGCCCCAAACCCUCAGAAACUAUCUAGAUUAGGCUGUGAGGCCAGUAUUUAACAGGGUCGCUCUGUGAAAUAAGCCAUAAGCAGAGGAGAGGCAAUGAUAAUAGGCUUCUGAAUGGCCUUUCACAUGACUUGCAUCAGGGCUUCACACCUCAGCACUCGAGGCUUGACCGGCACAUAAAAGCACUGCAGAGAUCAUAGAGGAAUGAUCUCUGAAGGUCAGGAUAUAUUGCCCCUGUGUUGCACAACUCAAACUGCCUGACACAGAGAGAAUCUCAUCUCGUUUUGGCUUUUGUGUUAUUAUUGAAACUUUGUUUGUUUUAGCCAUAGAUUUAAACUUUUGCCAUAAAAUUAUUCAAAAGUGUUUUUUUUUUUUUAUAUAACCGUUUGAAUAAAGUACUCUCCUGAAAACGUUUCGGUUAUGUAUGGUAACCCUCAUUCCCUGAAGGAGGUAAUGGAGACUAAUUGGGAUAUCGCUUGGAUAGACCAAUCUACUUUGAGUGUAAACUAAACAAGCAAAUGCACAUUGGCAUGCAAUUAUUGCAUCUAGCUGCAGCUGAUCACAGCAUGAGUAUAAGGCGGCAGCAGGUGCAAUGCAUACCAGGUUUUCACUGAGGAGCCGGUGACCUGGCCACUCAGCGGUGGUACAGCAGCCAUGGCGAUGGGACGUGACGUCUCCGUUCUCUCCUUCAGGGGACGAGGGUUACCAUACGUAACCGAGACAUUCUCUUUCAGUCAGUCACUUUCAUCUGUUUAGGAACAUAUAGAAAAUUGGAGGUGAUUGUAACCCUCUUGGAAAUGGCAGAAGUCUGUCGGGGAAGCACGGGCUCUGAGGCUAUACCAUGGACUUUACACAUAUGGGAUCCACUUAGGUCUCACAUAUGGACCCCGGCCUUCUACUGGUUCUCAAGGAUUCAGCGAGUGAAGGCCUGGCGCCGGAUGCUCCACCACGUCUGGCUACUGAGGGGACGGAGGAGCUUGACAGGGUCUAUGAAAUGGACUAUCUGGAGAGGUUUUAGCAAGCCGACACUAACCGGGGUCUCUCAGUGCCACUACCCAUUUGAGGUGAGAACACAGGAGGAUACCGGCUCCACACGAAGGCUAAAGAAUCUAGCGAACGUGUUGGGGGUCUGAGGUCCUAAAGCUUUGUGUCCAGUCUAUGUAGCAUCUGAGGGCUCGGACGGGAUAAAGCAAAGUAAGGGGUGGGUCUGCCUCCUCCAGGGGCAGCACGUGCAGGUUCACCACCUGAUCCCUGAAAGGAUUAGUGGGAACCUUAGGCACAUAGCCGGAACGGGGCCUUAGGAUUACCUGGGAGUCAGCCGGCCCAAACUCUAGGCACAAAUUAUCAACCAAAAAUGCAUGCAGGU